GUGUGUGAUCCCUCCAGGUUCAGAGUUUCGUCUCCGAGAACUCUGCAAGGAGCUGCUCGGUCCCGUCCACAAAUCAGCAGCGACAGCCUGGGAGCCCACCACUCUGGGUCUACGUAAGCGCGAGUUGUUGCGGGAAGUCUUACCUGUCAUCGUUGAAAACCUGCGAUUCCAGAGACUGUUCACCGAAUACCAGGACCAGCUGGAGCUACUGCGCAACAAAUAACACACACUGCUGCCCACACACACUGACAACACACAUGCCUGGACUCUCAUGAAACCAGUUUGGUUCUUCCAGUUCAACUCGGGUGAACUCUGACUGCUUAUCGUCAACUGAAGAAGCUUGAAACGCUGUUUGGGCUGAAAGCUGCAAAACAGAAAAACUUCAUUCACGGCAAGUCCACAACUUUCAAAGUUUGGGGACUUUCAGUGCUGUCGCUCACUGGGAAGAAGUGGCGGGUGAUUUGGAUUUUUUUCUUAUCACAAUCUUAGUUCCAACUCACGUGUUCGGUCGUUUUCUGUUUUUUUUAACCUAUGCACCUCUCUCCUGCGCUCCUUACCAUGGACUAAAAAAUAUUUAAUUAAGAGAGGUUGUGUUACAAAUGUUGCUGGUUGGAUCCCUGCAGCUCGAUAAAUCUUUCUCAAGUCUGUUUCGCUCCUCCGACAGAGUGAGCAGAGGUGAGACACUGAAAAAGAAAAUAGAAUAAAUCAAAAUGGAUGUAAAGGAGAAAUAUGCUUGUACCAAAGUGAUGCCUUCAAGUGUAAAAAUAACCACACAACUCCAUCUGCAAAGUGAAGGAAAUGAAGGGCAUCCUUAAAAAAAGGUUCAAAUGGGUUUUUAAAGGCUGAUGGGUGAAGUUUUCUGAGUGUUCUGGCUGAAAAAAUGCCAAUGCCAACAUUUGAAGUCACAGGUCACCGCGAAGAAGAUAAUCAAACUUAUGACACCACUGGAAAUGUAAAGGUAUAUUCAGAGAUACAGGAUGGACCUCGAUUUUUAAGGGAUGCCUUUUUUGCAGCUAAUCCUAACCCAUGAGAGCAUUCACUCCAGUCAAAGAGCACUUCAAGCAUGUGCACAAAGAGGAAGCACUGCAGAAUUUACGGUGACCGACGACCGCCCAAAACGAUGCAAUAAAAAAAACACAAAUGUGCCAAAACAUGCGCAAAUUAAAAAACAUCUUCACCAAGUUGACGAAACUUGCGCAGCCUUUACUAAAAGCACUGCAUAAAUGAAACGCUGCAAAUAAAAAACAAUGUAAGAAGCUCAAAACACAACAGAAACGGGGACAGUAAAAAGUGAUGCACACAGCUGGGACCAGAGCAUGUGUUGACUUUUGAGGAUUAUAAAGUUGGCCAACUGUGACUGGAAACUUACCUCAAAUGUGCAAAUGUGUAUUAGCUUAUUUAAAAAAUGCGAUCACAGGAAUCCUUCUGAUAUUAUUGCAGAUCUGCUGUCAGCUAGCUAGCUAACCUAGUUAUUUCAUUUAUACUGACAAAACACUUACAAUCGUGAAACAGGCUAACUCGGCCAACAGUGACAGUUGGCCAACUUUAUAAUCCCUGAACAUCAACAAGUGCUCAGGUCCCAGCUCUGCGUCACCUUUGAGUGUGCCUGUUUUCGUUGUGUUUUGAGCUUCUUCCCGAAUUUAGUUUGAGCUGCUUUUUGAGUAAAUACUGCUCAUGUCUUUCUUCAUUUACAUGUGUUUUGGCUCAUUUACCUUUUUAUUUGCAUAGUUUUUGAACCCCUUUCUCCUAAUGGAAGUGUUUUGGGCUGUUGUAGUGUGAUUGCAGAGGUCAACCGCCGUAGAAUUUAGACUAAAGAAACAAAACACAAGUAAGGAAAUAUUAACCCAGUUUGAACAAAAGUAAGAAAGCACGAUGGCAGUGCAGGAAUCCAUCUUUAGAUGUCACAUUUUGAUCUGCGACAAAGGUAGACAGAAGUACAAUCUUUGGAUGCAAGUUACCAUUAUUUGAAAUAACUAAAUGUUUCACACAUUGUUAUCUUUGCUUUUUACCUCAACUUUAUAAGCGCCUAAUCAAGAUUAUACAUUUUGAUUAUUUGUCAAAGAAAAAGCAUUUAACAUGAGUGUGCAUGAAAAGUCCGAUUUUUAUUGUGUUGGAUGAAUGAAUGUAGAUCUGCAGGCUUAACCAUUACUUAACCUCCAUCAUGAAGUCUCAGAAUAAAUCAUAUUUACUGUAGGCUUAGAAAAAGAAAUUAGCUGAAUUGCUCAGCAAGACGGGAAUGAUCUUGUUAAGUACACACAGGUUUAACAAAAGCUCGACAAUGAAUCUAGUAAAGUAAACUCGUGCCACCGUUACAUCCGUACAUAAUUAUUGUAAAUAUCAGCAGCUGCCUGAGGACAUUUGCUGAUGAAAAACUCAUUUUUGCAGAUCUUCAAGGCAUAUCAUGUGUAUGAAACAGAUCUUUGGGGUAAUAAAAAAGCUCUCGUGUGUCAGAUUCACGAAAUCUGAUUUAAAAAAAAAAAAAAAAAGAAAAAAAAAAAGGCUAAUAUGAUCCACUUUUUGAACGGCUGUGAUCAGACAUGGUGAACGGAUAAUGUUAUAUUUAUAUAUUUUGGUCUGUUUCAAUUCCUAUAUCUUGUAAAUACACCAAGUCUAAUUGCUGAACCAUUGGUUUACAUUUUCUCUCUGUUGCCGGGCAAGAAACACCCCAAAAAUGUUUUUCAGGACAGAGGGAUUUUCUUUUGUCUCACAUGCAUUAACUUGACAUUUUUACAGGUUUCAAAAGCACAGCGGUCAUGAAACCUCAUUGGACUUCUCUUGGAUAAAAAGUACUUGUUUAGCCUUUAGAAGUGCACUCCUCUGCCAAUUCAGUGUCUACAUAACAGUAGAGAGUGAGCUUAUGCUUGCUGUAUCUGACAGUGUGGAGACACGCAGACCAGAGGAAGAAUUCAUCUCUAUCAAUCUGUACAGCAUUUAUUUUUCCUUUUUUUCCCCGCUGUAAGUCAUUUUUAAAUGUUUGUACAAGCUAUUUUUUUUUUCAUUUUCUAUAAGAAAAAAAGAAAAAGAUUGAGAAGAGCUGAAUUGUUGCUUUUGAGGAAAGAAUGUGAAAAAUAAAUGAGGAACAGUUGGGGUUUGGUAAUUUC